AUUGAACGCUGGCGGCAUGCCUAACACAUGCAAGUCGAACGAGUGGCGGACGGGUGAGUAAUGUCUGGGAACCUGCCUGAUGGAGGGGGAUAACUACUGGAAACGGUAGCUAAUACCGCCUACCAUCAGCUGUGCCCUGAUGGGAUUAGCUAGUUGGUGGGGUAACGGCUCACCACGGCGACGAUCCCUAGCUGGUCUGAGAGGAUGACCAGCCACACUGGAACGGAGACACGGGCCAGACUCCUACGGGAGGCAGCAGUGGGGAAGAUUGCACAAUGGGCGCAAGCCUGAUGCAGCCAUGCCGCGUGUAUGAAGAAGGCCUUCGGGUUGUAAAGUACUUUCAGCGGGGAGGCGGUACCCGCAGAAGAAGCACCGGCUAACUCCGUGCCAGCAGCCGCGGUAAUUC
rnacentral:rRNA from 1 species